ACAGAAGCUUGCCGCCAACUGUUAACAGCGUAUAACACACGAAUUUUCAUUUCCUUUUCCUUCUCGCUGAUUUACCGGGAUCAAUAUUCCGCGUUUCUAUUCUCGGCUACAAUCAUUUCCGUGUUUCCUUGUAUACAAAUGUUGAACCUAGUCUACAAACAAACAUCAUUCAUCCUCAUCAGUUUUCGGAAACUUUUAUAUUUACCAAAGAAACAAGCAUCGGAGAAAUCUAUAUAAACAGGCCAUAACACCUCUCGACCCCAUACCUCUCUCUCUCACUCUCUGUUGAUAACACCAUCAUCGGAGCGUUCGAAACCUUUAUCCUACAACUUGAAGCCGCCGGAAAACCGUACGAGAUCACGUUCGCUAUCACUCGUAGAUUGUUCUUAUUGCCGGUGUCGAUUCCGCAACAUCACCGGACUUCGCCGGAUAACCCGAAGCCAACCGGAGUCACGACGGAACUCGGUUCCUUUGUUUUGAAGAUGAAGCUUUGAAUCGAAGAAGUCAUCGGACAAUCGCGACGAAACCCGUUCCUGAUAAUCGCUCUCGUUCGAUCUCAUGGAUUUCUCCAAUCUUUACUCGUGCGUUAUUACAAGAAAUCGCAACGCUAUCAAU